CCGCUAGAGGUACAUCGCGCGGGGAAAAAGAAAUGGGCCAAUGGAUGCUCCCGGCUAUCGCCUUCGGCCACCGCCGCUUUCGCCUCAUCUAUUUACCAAAAACUUUGUGCAGUGGGGUCUCGUGUUAUUCUUUUUCUUCGUGUCUUGGGUAGCUGACGCGACUGUGUGUUCUUCAAGAAAAUUUGUUCUAGAACAAUUGUGGCUGUGGGUAAAACAACAGCAGUUGAUGAAUUAUUUUGGUGACAGUACUCUGUUGCCAAUUACAGUGAAGCAAGUGUGUCACAUUUUUUGAAACGUGCUUUUAUCGUGUGACGAAACUUAACGUUUGAGCGAGUGCGUCGUCUUUCCUUCCGUCUUUCUCCAUGUGAUUUUCUUUUACUUUUGGGGAGUGCUGCUGGCCUACGUGACUUCCAACUUUGAGGUGUGCCAUUUCUCUUUGCCGGGCUGUUAUCCCCCUUUUUUUUUAUCAAAGGGCCGUCUUCUUGUCAUCAUUAAUAAAGAACACAGACAACGUAGAGCACUUUUACGAAACUUUUCAAUGUUUUCAUCAACCCUAGGAACUUUAGUUCAAAUGACCAGUGCGACAGUGUAGACAUUGUUAAAUAUUAGUCAAUUUACCGGAAACAAAAAACAAAGACAUAAAAUGGAUUCAUCUUGGCAUCCGUGGAUCGGUUCGGUGGCUGGUUCCAUGCUCGUCGGUCUUAGUGGCAUUGUUCCUCUUCUCGUAUUUCCUGAUCCUUCAAAAUUGAAAAAUUCAGAAGCAAAUGCUACUCCUUUAGAACAAAGCCCGAAAUUCCGACUUUUGCUGAGUUUCGCGGUCGGUGGCCUCCUGGGCGAUGUUUUCCUCCAUCUGUUGCCCGAAGCUUGGCACUUGAUUCGUCUCGGAAGUGAUUCAAAUCGAGGGCAAGUUCAGCUGGGCAUGUGGCUGAUUGCCGGCCUGUUCGCCUUCGCCCUGCUCGAACGACUUCUUAGUUCAACAGCCGAUGCUGCCGAUGAUAGUGAAUCUAAUAUUAACGGACUUGCGGAGGAAGACGAGGACUCUGACACACAAAACAACAAUGAUCCAUGCGAGAAAAAGCCGAAGAAAGAGAAAGAUGUGAUCAAGAAGAAACAUUCCGCCCCAUCGUCGCAAUUAUCUCUAUUUAAUCCAUUCCACGGAAUGUCUUCCAAACAAGUCACUGGCUACUUGAAUCUGUUGGCUAACGGAAUCGAUAACUUCACGCACGGUCUGGCUGUGGCCGGCUCUUUCCUGGUCUCGACUCGUGUUGGUCUUCUAACAACAGCCGCCAUCCUACUCCACGAGAUACCACACGAAGUAGCCGACUUUGCGAUUCUACUCCGAGCAGGUUUCGGACGAUGGGAUGCGGCCAAAGCGCAACUGGGCACAGCCACAAUCGGAAUAGCUGGUGCCAUGACAGCUUUAAUAUCCAACGGCACUGACCUGGCGGACGGCCGAAUUACAUCCUGGAUUCUACCCUUUACGGCUGGCGGCUUCCUCCAUAUCGCCUUGGUUACCGUGGUACCAGAACUGCUUGAGGAGUCGCAUCCCAAACAAUCGUUUUUACAAUUGCUGUUUGUGCUGGCUGGAAUUGUGGCCACGGCAAGCGUUUCAUUAAUAGUCGAUUGAAACGUUCACUAAUAUCCAAGUUGUCCCUGUGACACUUUGAUUAAUCAAUUUCAAGAGUAUUCCUUUGUAAACACGCGAGCAAACGAAAAACUAGACGAACCAUAUUUUCUAAAAAAGAUCACUUAAUUGUUAAUGAAUGCACCCAUUGUUUUUCCUUUUUCCGUGGGAGGUGUUAGCCAGACUUGAAUUCUAUCAUUGGUGUAAUGUGAUGGCGCCGUGAUUUCUUUUUAAAUUUCGAGUCAUUCAGGGGAUUUAUUUACGAGAAUUUAUAAAUGUUAUUAUUGGCGUAAAAAUAAUCAUGGAAAAAAAAGAAAUGUUUGAUGAAAAUGAAUCUUUUUUUCUAUUGACACUUGUACCACAUUAUCCCUUUGAUACAAAAAAAAAUUGACAAUUAGCAUCCUAAUUAUUGAUUUCUUAAAAAAAGAUAAUCUUUCCACAAAAACACAAUUUAGAUCUUCAAUUUUCAGUGAUUGGACGUCGAUUAGAUUCGGGCUCAUCAUCUUCAUGGUCAUCUGUGUACACUUCAACUGCAAGGGUAUUGGAUUUGUUUGUUGUUGUGGGCACAAGAUGAUGGUAUUCUUUCUUUGGUUCAGCACCAGUAGAGCAGCAAUUAAGAACGCAAGAUGAUCCGCCGCCCGGUUUUUUAUUGCAUAACAUGACGACCACCAAUGCCAUGACGACGGCCACGUUAAAGCCCAGCGCUAAUUCAACACCAAGAGACCAACGUUCGUAAUUGGCCAAUAAAUUGGCCAAUUCUCGUGGAUGGCAAUACUGUUCCGCUUUGCCUUUGUAUCCUGUUCAUCAAUCAACAUGUUUUCAAGUAUUUCCCGUUUUGAUUGAUGAAAAAGUUUACCUGGUAAAAUGACAGACUUGAGUUGUGAAUCGGCGUGGCAAGUGGUACAUUCUGAAUCACUCGGCCCGUUGCAUGUCAGACAUGAAUAAUGACACGGAACGCAUGCAAGGAAAAUCCCGCCUAAUCCCGUCUGGUUAAUCGCGUGAGUCGAUUCUGGACACGAUGGAACACACUGACCUCGCCACAGAAAAUCACCAUCGUCGCACACUGUGGAAAAAAACAAAUGGCAAAAAAGGUAGAAACAAAUCAACUUAAACAAAAAGGAAGAAGAAAAAUAAAAAUUCUAAGGAAGAAAAAUAAAAAACAGGAAAAACGGAUGGAUUAGUAAUCUUUAAUGACAAUAAAAGAGAAGAGAAUAGUCCACUCACCAAAAAUUGUGAUCUAGGAGAGGGAGGUUGCCCCAAGGAGGAUGGACGUGAACACCUUUGCAUUACACCCCCUAAACCAUAGUGUCGUGUUUGUCUUGUGUCAGUGUGUGUGUGUGCUGUGUGGAGGCAUUGUGUUUGUACAAAGUGUUUGUCAAGGUUCAACAAAAAUUUGCACCCUUUUGUUUUCUGUUGGUAUUUUUUACCCCCUGAGUAUCUAUCAGUUCUACUGUCAGGUGCACGGACUAAACAACUCGACGAAUAAGGUUAGAUUCAAUUUGUUUAACUGUUAGUUUUCCUUUAAGUGGGGGUGUGUGGAAUUUUCUGUUAAUAAAGUGAAGUACUUAGUCCACGUGAAAGAGAUUAUAAUAGUUUUAAGCCAUCACCAUCAGGGUAGGGAGUGAAUUCUUUCUUUUUUUUUUCUAUACUCUAGAGACCAAUUAAGGUAAAAAAAAGUUAAACAACAAAAAGGGAAAAGAAAUGUGUCCAUCUUUUGUUGUUCGGUUCAUAAAGACAAGAAGAUAUUCCGGCAAAAAUUUCGAUGUUCUUUAUUCACAACCUAGGCUGCACUGUGUGAACAUCCAUUUUUUUUCAAUUGUUUUUUUCUCUUUU